rnacentral:rRNA from 1 species
GUGUCAGCAGCCGCGGUAAUACGGAGGGUGCAAGCGUUAUCCGGAAUCACUGGGUUUAAAGGGUGCGUAGGCGGCUAUGUAAGUCAGUUGUGAAAUACCUCGGCUUAACCGAAGGAAGUGCGAUUGAUACUGCGUAGCUUGAAUCAGGUUGAGGUAGGCGGAAUGUGACAUGUAGCGGUGAAAUGCUUAGAUAUGUCAUAGAACACCGAUUGCGAAGGCAGCUUACUGGGCUUUGAUUGACGCUGAGGCACGAAAGCGUGGGGAGCAAACAGGAUUAGAUACCCGGGUAGUCC